GCUGGUCCGGGACGGGGCAGGGGGGGCUCUGUUGCACGUCCACUCACACCUGUGCACCCUCUGUAGUUGUAUGGUCAGGAAGGCCUGUCCCUCCCACCAUGGUUCUGCGUCUUUACCACACACACUGUAAUAAAGUCUCAUGGAAUGUGUGCCGCGUUUAACGCAAUACAAUACAACUUUCAGCAACGGAUCUCUUGGCUCUCGCAUCGAUGAAAAACGCAGCGAAAUGCGAUAAGUAAUGUGAAUUGCAGAAUUCAGUGAAUCAUCGAAUCUUUGAACGCACCUUGCGCCCUUUGGCCAUUCCGAAGGGCAUGCCUGUUUGAGUAUCAUGAACACCUCAACUCUUCGUGGUUUUCCAUGAUGAGCUUGGACUUUGGGGGUCUUGCUGGCCUGUGGUCGGCUCCUCUCAAAUGAAUUAGCUUGCCAGUUUUUGGUGGGCAUCACAGGUGUGAUAACUAUCUACGCUUGUGGUUUUCCACCACGGUAACCUUCACCAGUGGAGGUUCACUGGAGCUUACAAAUGUCUCUCCUCUGUGAGGACAGCCCUUUGAAUGUUUGAUCUCAAAUCAGGUAGGACUACCCGCUGAACUUGAGCGUAUCAAU
rnacentral:rRNA from 1 species